GAUGAACGCUGGCGGCGUGCCUAAUACAUGCAAGUCGAGCGAACAGACGAGGAGCUUGCUCCUCUGACGUUAGCGGCGGACGGGUGAGUAACACGUGGAUAACCUACCUAUAAGACUGGGAUAACUUCGGGAAACCGGAGCUAAUACCGGAUAAUAUAUUGAACCGCAUGGUUCAAUAGUGAAAGACGGUUUUGCUGUCACUUAUAGAUGGAUCCGCGCCGCAUUAGCUAGUUGGUAAGGUAACGGCUUACCAAGGCGACGAUGCGUAGCCGACCUGAGAGGGUGAUCGGCCACACUGGAACUGAGACACGGUCCAGACUACUAAGGGAGGCAGCAGUAGGGAAUCUUACGCAAUGGGCGAAAGCCUGACGGAGCAACGCCGCGUGAGUGAUGAAGGUCUUCGGAUCGUAAAACUCUGUUAUUAGGGAAGAACAAAUGUGUAAGUAACUAUGCACGUCUUGACGGUACCUAAUCAGAAAGCCACGGCUAACUACGUG
rnacentral:rRNA from 1 species